AACUCAGCUCUAAAACUGCAAUUGUUUGCCUACCUCCAGGGACACAUCUCACAGAUUGCCAUGAAAAUAAAUUGGAAAGUUUACAAUUCCAAAUCAUUGCCUACCAUGUAUUACUUCACAGACAAAAACAAACACUACCACCACCAUCAUCACCAUCAAGAAUAUACGAAAACAUAUCCAAGAACUUUUCUCCCUUCAUCAGGGAAAAUGCAUUACAAUUAGAUUAGACUAUAACCAUUCAGAGUGUGUGUUUGUUUUCUGCUGCUUUAAAAAUGAUUUAUUAUUUAUUACUAUUUUUUUCAAGAUUAUCUUCUUUAUUCCUUCAGGAAAGGAGCAGUUUGGCUCUCUGUGUCAUUACCAAAGCAGAACGAAAGCCUUCAACUGCGGACUGCUGCAAUUUCCACCACAACAGUCAACCCAGCAAUUAGAACCGUUUGUUACAGUGACAGCAAAGAGAACCAUUUUCAAGCAACAAGGCAGAAGAGCAGGAGCUGAAGGAAGAGCAUUUUUAUUCGAAGAGGACUGACGCCACACAGCAGCUAAUCCUGGAAUAGCAGGCAGUUUUGGGAACUGAGGGGAGGAGGAGGCUUUUCCCCCCUUUGUAUUUGUUUUGCAGCAGUUCAACUACUGCUUUGGCACCGAGGCAGCUUCUGCCAGAGUCAGAGAUGGAUUCAAUAUUGAAAGUCUGGGACAAAAAGAGGAAAAUGCAGUGAAGAAAUGAAAAUCAUGUCUUUGACAGUAAGGCAUAGAAAAGAUGGAUGGAGCCAUAGAGGAAAAAAAAGAACAAGGAAAAGUUUUAGAGACUUUUCCCCCACUUACCCCCUGUCUUCAGGGCCUAACAGGGUACUGGAGCCUGGGUUUGUCUUGUUUUGUAACACAGGGAUGAAGAUUUUCUCUCACCUUCAUUCUCUCUACAGGACACUUGGCCUCCUUGAAGACAUGGAUGACUGCAGUUUAGACAAAGAAAAACAGGUUUAUAUGUGUGUCAGACAUAUGAGAAAGAUAUGCUCAUUUCUUCUCCAAGUUCUUCUACCAUCUCCUAUCCCUUCCCACAUACCCAGGCCAACUGCUAUUGCCUGAUCUAUGAUACGAUGGAUGGCAGCUUAGUAUUCAAGUUUCAGGAAAGGAUGCCCAUUGAAGAAACAAAGGAGACGGAGCAGAGUAGCCUGAAAACACUAAGAAAGGAAAAUGCCUGACAGCAAAUAUGCCAGGGAGCAGGGCUUGGUAAAGGGGAAAAGACAGAACUUAAGAAGCACAGGCUACUCUUCGCAUAUUUAUUGUAAAGGAUUCAGAGAUGAGAAAGAACUGCCUUAUGGGAGAUCAAUCUUCUUUGUACCCUGAGAGUCAACCCCCCCUUUCCUCCUCCAAAUUAUUCUCCCUACAAUGUCCUUUUGUCUGCUCACAUUUUCCAAUGACCAGAAUUCUUUCUUCAGAGAUACUCAUGCUACUAAACCCAGAAUGAUGGCUCUUUUCUUUCUUUUUAUAUUAUUAUGACUCUAUUCUUUCCUUGGUGCCUAUGCUUAUGUACACACACACACACACACACACACACACACACACGCCUUGUGGUUUGACAACACAAGAUUUAGAAAAUAAUUAUUGGUUGUUUUGGGGUCUUCUAAGCAUUUUCACCAAAAAAGUUCAUGAAAAUAUCACACAAAUCCAACAAGCUGGGCACUGUGAUUACUGUCACUGUUUCACAUAUAAGGAAACUGUGUCAUGGAAGAGAGAUAAGUUAAUCAAUAAUAACAUGCUAACUAGUAAGUGAAAGUGUUUUAAUUGUUUGGUUUUUUUUUUGUUUUUGUUUUUUUGUUUUGUUUUGUUUUAUUUUGUUUUGUCUUUUUAGGGCUGGUUCUGUGGCAUAGGGAAGUUCCCAGGCCAGGCUAACUGAAGCUGCAGGUGUCAUCCUAGGCUGUAGCCCUAGCAAUGCCAGGUUCGAGCUGUUCCUGCAAUCUACACUGCAGAUAAUGGCAAUUCUGGAUCCUUUAACCCACUGAGCAAGGCCAGUGAUUGAACCCACAUAUUCAUGGAUAUACUAGUCUGGUUCAUAAUGUGCUGAGCCCCAAUAGGAAUUCCUUAAUUCAGUCCUUUAACAGUACAUCUUAUUUGUUCUAACGCAUAAGUUUGCUAUCAUUACCUUACCUAAUUUCCAAGGCCUAGUUCAAAUCUAUUUUUCUGCAUAAUGCCUUUUUCUGAAUACAUGAGUCUAUGGUUAUCUUCCUUCAAGUCUGUUAAAAUAAAAAUAAUAGAGGAAUUCCCUGGUGGCUCAGCAGGUGAAGGAUCUGGCAUUUUCACUGCUGUGGUCUGUCUUUGAUCCGUGGCCCAAGAAUUUUUGCAUGCUACUGGCAUGGACAACAAAUAAUAGUAAUAGAAGUUAUAUAUGCUGGUAGCGUUUUGCAGUAUGUAGCAUGGUGAUGUAUAAACACAAAUGUUAUAAACUCUUAUUUAAAUAUGCUUACUGCAUUUUUACCAUAUACAAGAUACUUUUCCAAGGAACCACAGUUAUUUUCUAGUUAAUCCAAAUAAAGGUUUUCAUUUCAUUAAUUAUAUCAUAAGCUCUGUAAGACAUUAGCAUCUUUUGUAUUUUCUCUUUGUUCCCAUAUUGUCUAACACAUCCUUAUCCCUGUAGAGCCUAGAUGCAUAGUAUGUGUUCAAUUAAAUCCAACAAGAUUCAUAAGAAGUAAAAUAGGUUCUUAGUUUCUGUAGUCAUCUCUUGCUGUUUUCACGAUUAUUUCAGAGCAUUUCUACUUCUGAAAUGCUUAAAAAAUACAGAACAUUUCUGACUCCAAGAAUUUGCCAGACCUCUUUUGUACCAUCAUUUAAGGGCAGCCAAGAAAGCCUGUUUUGACACAUAAAUUGUAGUUCUAGGGUUUUUUGUUUGUUUUUUUUUCAGCUGUUAAUGUUUCAUGUUGAGCCAAAAUAUGAACAAGUUCCCACCAGCCAUAUUGUAGUACAUUAUGAAAUUGAGAAUUACAUUAACAAGAUAAUCUAAUAACUUUUUGUGAGACAGGAAAAAUGUGCACCAUCAUUUUCUAAGAAGCAAGGAGAAAAUGACAUCCUUUUGGGCAGCAGCUGAUACAGAGGAAAUAAUUCAGCCCAAGAGAGAAUUGGGCUUCUUAAUGUGGCAGACAUCAUGCUUCCAGCCAUUCUGCUAGUCCUUCAGCAGUAUAUGACAUAAUCUGGGAGACUUGAUUUCUAGUUAUCACUAUGGCACCUCUCUGCAGCAUGAAAAUGAAGUUACUAAUUGGAAGUAAGUACAAAAUCUCCCUGGAAGAGCUUGCCUUUGACCUAAGAUGACAGCUUUAAAUGUUUGUACUUAAUAAGAUGGACCAGUUUUAAGGUCUCUCUCUCUUGAUGUGAGGAGUUGCCGAGAGUAAGCUAUCUACAACUUUAUAAAAGGAAAAAAAGUAAUCCCUCAAGCAAUCUACUUUAGCAUUUCUUAAGUCUUAAAAAUGUCCAGAGUUUCUGAAAAAGUAGGAAUCAUCUCCAAACUCUUCCCCCAAAACCUUACCCAAGUCACUAAAGAGAAGAUAGAGUGGAAAAUAUAUCUAUCAAUGCUGACUUUGCCUCCUGGCAUGUGCCAUGUGAUGGACCUGAAUCAAAGAAAAAAGAAUGUAUACAUGUAUGUGUAACUGGGUCACCAUGCUGGACAGUAUAAAAAAAAUUGUAUUGGGGAAAUAACAAUUAAAAAAAAGAAAGAUGAAAGGGAAGACAAACAGCCAUUGUUGAAUGAGUGGGAUUUAGUACUGAAAAGUAGGGGGCAUGGGCUGAUGGUCUGUGUAGAUGAUGGGAGAAAUAAAUCUAUUGGGGAAUUCUUCCUUUCCA